UACAGAGGUCCCGAGCGUUGUUCGGAUUCAUUGGGCGUAAAGGGUGCGUAGGCGGCGGGGUAAGUCUGAUGUGAAAUCCCGGGGCUCAACCCCGGAACUGCAUUGGAUACUGCCUUGCUUGAGUACUGGAGAGGGAACUGGAAUUUACGGUGUAGCAGUGAAAUGCGUAGAGAUCGUAAGGAAGGCCAGUGGCGAAGGCGAGUUCCUGGACAGUAACUGACGCUGAGGCACGAAGGCCAGGGGAGCAAACGGG
rnacentral:rRNA from 1 species